rnacentral:lncRNA from 1 species
GAAAUGAACAUUUUACCUCAGUAACUCAUGCUGUAUGGUCUGUGGCCAUAUGUCUAUUUUUUAGACUCCAAACUAGUUUUACUUUUUCCCAAUAAACAAAAAAUUGGGAGGGAGUCUGGUACAGUGUUUUUAAAAAAUAAUCUAACUGAACUAGUAAGUCUAUGAAUUCCAGUUUUCAGUUAGCAAAUGUCAGGGGGAAAUCAUCCCUUAUGCAUUCCUAUUUUACAUUACCUCCUUAUUUCAGCCCCUACCAUUAGAUAAAAUGGAAAAGGUAAAAAUAUCUUUAAAUAUCUUCUCUUCUCUUCCUCCCACUCUGUAGGUUACAGAAUAGAGAAAGGUCAGGUACAUCUUCUACUUCACCAAUAAGCAUAAAAUAGAAAAAUGUUUAGGAAACAAAAAGGAAGUAAAUAUCGGUUUCCUACCAUUCCAUGUGAAAACAAGCUGUGAAGAACCAGAUGACCACUAAAAAUUAUUAGGGAAGACACUAAAUGAGUCUUUCGACUUUGAAGAAAAGCAAGUGGACUUGAAUUCCAUGGGUGUAAGCUCCAGAAGAUGGGAAUUUUGUUCACCUCAUUCAAAGUAUCCUGCAUUUGGCAUAUAGUAGUCAUCAUUUUUGUGGAUAAA